rnacentral:lncRNA from 1 species
CUUGAAGAAAUAUAUUCUACAUUUUUACAGCAGACAUUAAUGAACCUUUAGUCCUGUGUGUCUGUGGCUGACUGCCACAAUUACUACUUGAGACCGUCACUAUGACAGUUAUUACUGUUACUACUUGAGACCGUCACUACGACAGUUAUUGUUACUACUUGAGACCGUCAUUACAGGACUGAACGAAAGGACAAACGUAGAAAUGAUUAAAAAAAUCUGUUUUAAAGGAAGGGGAAACCGGGAAGAAGGGAGCUCCCUGCUUCUAGUGAGCGAAGGCAGCCCCCCGAGCUUCCACAGCCCUUCGCAUUCAUUGGGAGAAUGAGCAGGGAGGAGGCCCUAAGACUGGUUUUGGCAGAGUUCAAAGACUGGGAAGCAAAGUUCAGCCAUGUUGGGCCUUUGGGCUCAUAGAUGAGCAAGGGUACCCCAAUAUGAGGGCUCAGCAAAUUCUGGAACUUAUCAGUUCUGAAGACCUUUAGAGGAGAAGGAGACAAGUAAAAGGGUUGGCCUUGCGUAUUGGCAAUGAAACAGGCUAUUUUUGACAUUGAGUUGUCCAGCAUUCUCUAAGGUAUGUAGUCCUGGAGGGCGCUGCUUAAUGAACCAGAAGUCCUGCCUCUUAAGUACCUCACCAGCUCAAAUGUGUGCAUGUCACCUUGGCGUGAAUCGGAGCAGGCGCUGGUGGAUACCGUUUGGAGGCAUGCCAGCAAGGAGCUCCUUGUGUAGCCUGCCUCUGGAGCCUCAAGUUCAACUUCCAUAGGGCCAAAAGGGGAGUCGGGCUGGGCAGAAGCUCCUGAGAACCAAAGCAAAUGGUCUGAGAGUCUGAGAGUGUAGUGGAGGUAACGUGUUCGUGUCCUCUCUGGCUGCAUCACCCCAAGUCCUUGCAGACUCAAGUAGCCUAUUUGCAAGUUUAAAUAGUUUGAGUCCUGGCCGGUAACAAGAAUACUCUACAGUGGCCCAGAGUCAGGGAUAUAGAGUGGCGACUACUUGGCAGAACUGGAGCUUGCUCAGAUGAAAAGAUAAAUUGUACUGGUUAAACGAAGAUCAAGUGCAGGGUCUGGACUUUGUUUCUAUCUUUCAUGUGGACUCUAUAAGCACCUACACACAGCAUUCUAGAAACACUGCUCCCAUCCCUCCUGUCUCAUGUCAUCCUCCCAAUUCCGGGAGUUGGGGGGCAUACUCUUUCCCUGUGUCAUGUGAGAAAUUCCUUUCUCAUGGGAAGCAGGUGGCAUUCCUGGACUCUCCUUGGCCUGGCCGUUGGUAAGCACAGGAAUUCAAGGUGUCUGAAUCUCUUGUCAAAGGUGGGCUGUAAGGCUCCAGAAGAGGAGGACAGAAAGUGCCUGCAGAGCUCCUGCCUGAGGCCUUUGGAUGGGCCCUGCUGGCUUGCCGUGUGUGUGUGUGUGUGUGUGUGUGUGUGUGUGUGUGUGUGGUGUCGUGCUUAUUUGCCCCAAAUGAGGCAAGAGAGCAGUGAUCAGGUGUCUCCCCAGCAUCUAGUUUCAUGAAGACAAUAGAAGUGGGUCGGAUCAGGCCUGCUGCCAUGCUUGGCUUGCCCAUGUCUCCUAGGAUUGGCUGCCUGGUGGCCAUCCCUUUGCCAUCCCCUUGACUGCCCUGUGAAUGAUGUCCACUCUGAGACCCCAGGCCACUCAGAAAAACUGAAGAUUCUCAAGUUCAGGUGCAGUUAGGGGGCAGGUCCUGGUGGUGGGGGAGCUUUGAUGUUCUGCAGUUGGAGGAUCCUCUUUCAGAAUAGUAAUGCAAUUUGUGAAUUAAUAAAAUUAGGUAUGCAAGAGGAUAUGUAGAAAAGAAAAAUCACAAGCUACACAAUUUUUAAGUUGACAAAACUACGAACAUCACAAAAUAAUAUGAUAUUUUAAAUUAAUUAUCUGCCUGGAAUACUCUGUCAUUUUUUUUUGAUCUUUUGCCUGCAUCGUCUUUGAUAGCAGUGUUUUUGAUAUUGCUUUUUAUAGAGAGACUCAAGAUAAUGGAGUCUACUCUGUUGUGGUUAAUUAAACAUUUUUUGGUGUUAUUCAUAGUUUGAGAUGUUUC